GCCAAGAUAGCUCAGUCGGUAGAGCAGCUGAUUCGUAAUCAGCAGGUCGUCGGUUCGAGUCCGAUUCUUGGCU
rnacentral:tRNA from 1 species